rnacentral:lncRNA from 1 species
AGUGGAAGGGAAAUCCCGCUGUGCUCGGAUCUGGUCGUGGCUUUUCCCCUCCAUCCCCUCUCUGCUGCCUCUGAUGGUGCAGGAGGACAAUCCUGGGAGCUGCCAGCCCUGUGUGCCAGGGUGGGGAAUGCCCUGAGCCUCCAGAGCUCACCGGGGGAAGCUUUGGCUGCUCCCAGGGGAUCCUCAGAGGGACCAGCUGCCGGCUCUGGGGAGAAGAACCCAAAUAAUCCAGGCUCCUUUUUGGUUUUUGAGUGGCUGCUCCCUCUGGACACCGAGUCCCUUUCACCUGAGGGAUCCUGGCCCUUUCUGCUCCUCGAUUUUCAGGGGGCAAAGCUGUUCUCCCUGAGCCCACUCCUGCUCCUGCAGCCCCACAGAGCCUGGGGCUGCUGUGCUCUGCCCCCACCCUCGGAUUUAGGGCAGGGAUUGGAGCCCUGGGCUUGUGGGGCCAUGGGGAGCAGAGCUCAGGGCUCUCCCCUUCCCUUCAUCCCAGAUUUGGGGCAGGGAUUGGAGCCCUGGAGCUGCCAGGGCAGGAGGAGCAGAGCUGCCAGGCUGUGGGGAUCAGAGCUCAGGGCUCUUCCCUUCCCUUCAUCCCAGAUUUGGGGCAGGAAUUGGAGCCCUGGAGCUGCCAGGCUGUGGGGAUCAGAGCUCAGGGCUGUUCCCAUCACAUCCCUGGGCCCCAGCUCCCGGAGUGAAGCCCAGGGAGGGAAGAGCCCGGAGCUUUUCCCCGGCUGGAGCAGCCCUAGACGUGGUAGAUGUGCUGGGCACACGGGGAACAGCGCGAGCCCGGCUCCCUCUCCUCAGCCUCCCACAGGUUGUCGUAGCUGAAGUCGCUCUGGAAGCUCUGGAAGCUCUGGAAGCUCUGGAAGCUCUGGAAGCUCUGCAGCUCGGCGUAGUCGUGCUGGGACGGACAGUCCUGGCAGGGACAGGGGACAUCGGCCAGCUCCUGGGGACCAGAGCUGCCACCUGCACCGAGAUGGGGACCACGAUAUGUAUGGGGAUAUAUGGAAUAA